ACGAGACGUAGUGGUAUCCUGAGUAACGCGGAACACGUGAAAUUCUGCGCGAAUCUGCCGGGACCAUCCGGUAAGGCUAAAUACUCCCGUGAGACCGAUAGUGAACGAGUACUGUGAAGGAAAGGUGAAAAGCACUCCGAUGAGGAGAGUGAAAUAGUUCCUGAAACCAUGCGCCUACAAGCGGUCGGAGCCGCGUAAGCGGUGACGGCGUGCCUUUUGCAUAAUGAACCUACGAGUUACCAUGUCUGGCAAGGAUAAGCGUCAUGAGACGCGCAUCCGCAGUGAAAGCGAGCCUGAAUAGGGCGUCGAGUCAGAUGGGGUAGACGCGAAACCAAGUGAUCUACACUUGCCCAGGUUGAAGUCCGGGUAACACCGGAUGGAGGACCGCACGGAUAAGCGUUGAAAAGCUUCCCGAUGAGGUGAGUGUAGGAGUGAAAGGCCAAUCAAACUUGGAGAUAGCUCGUACUCCCCGAAAGGCAUUUAGGUGCCGCGUGCAGUGUUUUCCCCAAGAGGUAGAGCGACCGAUAGGACGCGAGGGCUUCACCGCCUAUCAAGUCCUGACGAACUCCGAAUGCUUAUGUUCCGCAGUCAUGCAGUAAGGGGGCGGGUGCUAAGGUCCGUCCCCGAGAGGAGAAGAAUCCAGACCGCCGUCUAAGGUCCCGGAAUUCUGCCUGAGUUAGUCUAACGAAGUCUGGUCCCCGUGACAGCUAGGAUGUUGGCUUGGAAGCAGCCAUUCAUUCAAAGAGUGCGUAACAGCUCACUAGUCGAGGGUCCGGGCAUGGAUAAUAAUCGGGUAUAAGUCAGAUACCGAAGGCGCGGGAUAGUAAUGUAAAUUAAAAGUAUCGGUAGGGGAGCAUUCCAUCGACGUUGAAUGGUGAAGGUAACUGAUCCUGGAGUUUAUGGAAAAGCAAAUGUAGGUAUAAGUAACGAUAAAAAGGGUGAGAUUCCCUUUCGCCGAAAGACCGAGGUUUCCCGGGCGAUGCCAAUCAGCCCGGGGUUAGUCGGGUCCUAAGUCUCAGCCGAACGGCGAAGGCGAUGGCAGAUGCGGUUAAUAUUCCGCAACUCGCAUAUACAGUGAUGUGGAGACGGAGCAGUGACACUGCCGCGCCCUGACGGAAUAGGGCGUUUAAGUGCGUAGGCUAUGAGGGAGGCAGGCAAAUCCACCUUCCGAGCUGAACCAUGAAAGUACAGGUAAUCCUUCGGGAUAACUUGAGUGCAGGUAAUCAUACUUCCGAGAAAAUCCGCUAAACUUAAUGUAUAUGCGACCCGUACCGCAAACGGACACACGUGGUCGGGUAGAAUAUACUAAGGCGUUGAGAGAUUCAUGGUUAAGGAACUAGGCAAAUUGACCCCGUAACUUCGGGAUAAGGGGUCCUCAUAGCAAUAUGAGGCGCAGAGAAUCGGUCCAGGCAACUGUUUAACAAAAACACAGGGCUGUGCAAACUCGAAAGAUGACGUAUACAGCCUGACACCUGCCCGGUGCCGGAAGGUUAAGAGGAGAUGUCACCAGCAAUGGGAAGCAUUGAAUUGAAGCCCCGGUAAACGGCGGCCGUAACUAUAACGGUCCUAAGGUAGCGAAAUUCCUUGUCGGGU
rnacentral:rRNA from 1 species